UUGCCAGAUGCUGUCCUGUCGGAAAUUAUUCUUCAUGUGGUCCUGGAGGAGGGUGAUGCUGCAUUAUUAAAUCUGUCUUUGGUUUGUUCCAAAUUCAGAAGUCUGGUGUAUACAGACUCAUUUCGAAAGAGGGCACACUUCUGCUGGCUUGACAGUGUAACAAAAUGGAGAACAAGUCUGAGCCAUGCCAGAAAUUCUUCAAAAUGUACACACUGCAGCCCUGCGAUGAGGUUUACAAGAACUGCUUACCAGGUCACCGUAGCCACCAGAUCCAGUCUGUAUCCAAGUCAGAGGGUCACUGCAGUCACCCGGAUCCAGUAUGUAUCCAGCCCAGAUGGUGGAUCAGCACCUAGAAAGGACCUCUACAGCCCUGAAAGACAGCGGAGACCAGGAC
ensembl:lncRNA